rnacentral:rRNA from 1 species
GAUGAACGCUGGCGGCGUGCCUAAUACAUGCAAGUCGAACGAACAGACGAGGAGCUUUCUCCUCUGACUUUAUCGGCGGUCGGGUGCUUAACACGUGGAUAACCUACCUAUCAGACUGGGAUACUUUCGGGAAACCGUAUCUACUACCGGAUAAUAUAUUGCCCCUCAUUGUUCAAUAGUUAAAUACGCUUUUUCUUUCACUUAUAGCUUGCUCCGCGCCGCAUUAGCUAGUUGGCUAGGUAACGGCUUACCAAGGCAACGAUGCGUAGCCGACCUGAGCGGGAGAACGGACAGACGGGAACUGAGACACGGUACAGACACCUAGGGGGGGAAGCAGUAGGGAAUCUUCCGCAAGGGGGGAAAGGCUGACGGAGCAAAGCCGCGGGAGUGAUGAAGGUGUAAGGAUCGUAGAACGCUGUAAGUAGGGAAGAACAAAUGUGUAAGUAACUAGGAAGAUAAUGACGGUACCGAAAGAAAAAGCCACGGCUAACUACGUG